rnacentral:rRNA from 1 species
UACGGAGGGGGCGAGCGUUGUCCGAAUUUAUUGGGCGUAAAGCGCGUGUAGGCGGACUUUCAAGCCUGAGGUGAAAGGUUGGGGCUCAACCCCAUACAGUGCCUUGGGGACUGAGAGUCUGGAGGCCGGCAGAGGAGAGUGGAAUUCCUGGUGUAGCGGUGGAAUGCGUAGAGAUCAGGAAGAACACCCAUGGCGAAGGCAGCUCUCUGGGCCGGUACUGACGCUGAGACGCGAAAGCGUGGGGAGCGAACGGG